rnacentral:rRNA from 1 species
AGAGUUUGAUCCUGGCUCAGAGCGAACGCUGGCGGCAGGCUUAACACAUGCAAGUCGAACGGUCCGUUCGGGAUAGUGGCGGACGGGUGAGUAACACGUGGGAACGUACCCUUAGGUUCGGAACAACACAGGGAAACUUGUGCUAAUACCGGAUAACGCCCGUUCGGGGGAAAGUAUUUAUCGUCCUUUGGAGCGGCCCGCGUCUGAUUAGCUUGUUGGUGAGGUAAUGGCUCACCAAGGCUACGAUCAGUAGCUGGUCUGAGAGGAUGGCCAGCCACACUGGGACUGAGACACGGCCCAGACUCCUACGGGAGGCAGCAGUGGGGAAUCUUGCGCAAUGGGCGAAAGCCUGACGCAGCCAUGCCGCGUGGAUGAUGAAGGUCUUAGGAUUGUAAAAUCCUUUCACCGGGGACGAUAAUGGCGGUACCCGGAGAAGAAGCCCCGGCUAACUUCGUG